AUUGAACGCUGGCGGCAGGCCUAACACAUGCAAGUCGAACGAGUGGCGGACGGGUGAGUAAUGUCUGGGAAACUGCCCGAUGGAGGGGGAUAACUACUGGAAACGGUAGCUAAUACCGCAUACCAUCGGAUGUGCCCAGAUGGGAUUAGCUAGUAUGUGGGGUAACGGCUCACCUAGGCGACGAUCCCUAGCUGGUCUGGGAGGAUGACCGUCCAAACUGGAACUGAGCCGCGGUCCAGACUCCUACGGGGGGCAGAAGUAGGGAAUAUUGCACAAUGGGCGCAAGCCUGAUGCAGCCAUGCCGCGUGUAUGAAGAAGGCCUGCGGGUUGUAAAGUACUUUCAGCGAGGAGGCGUUACUCGCAGAAGAAGCACCGGAUAACUCCGUGCCAGCAGCCGCGGUAAUUC
rnacentral:rRNA from 1 species